UCAUGGCAAAUGCCAUAAGAGAGUGGUUUCAAGGAGUUGAUAAAAAAGUAUUAAAUUUUCGAUGGAAAAGGUUAUUUAACAUUCUUCACAGAUUUGGUGUUCAUUUGACAAUAGCAGAAAUCAAACUUCUUAUUUAUCUAACAGGAAAUGCUAUAGAUGAAACAACAAAAUUAAGAAUUAAAAAUGGCAAAGAUUUGAUUUUGGCUUUGGUGAAAUGUGGAGCUUGUGACGAAAACAAUUUUCGUAGUAUAAUUCACUUAUUGAAAUGUAUUAAUCGUUAUGACUUACUGCAUCUAGUCAGUGUGAAAAGUAAGCGAAAAGUUUUACCAGAUCCUGUUGAACACUAUCUACUCCAUUCAAGUCAACUUAAAAGCAUUAAUGAUCAGGUUUCAAGACCAACCUCUUGUUUAAGUUCAAGUUUCACAACAGAAAGAGAACCAUCAACCACAUUAGAAACAAGAGUUGAAAGAAGUCAAAACAGGGAUGAUAUAGAUUCACCAGUAAAAAAACUAAGACGAAGCCCAAGAUAUCAAAAAACAAAAGAAUCUCAUAAACCUGAACUAGAUGACCAGACAGAUUUCCCUUCAGGUGCUAGGAUUAAGUAUACAAGUGAUGUUCGACUAAGGGUGAGAGCCGAGUACUGCAAUUAUGAAAAUGCUCUUCAAGGAGCAAUAUCAUCAAACAAAGCAGAUCUAAUUGAACGUCAGCUGGAAUGUUUCUCCCAAGCAAACACCAUCUUACGUUCUCGAGACCUUGGAGACAUUGUGUGUAACAUUAGGUUCUCUGAAAUCACCUACUUGGAUGCAUUUUGGAGGGAUUACCUGAAUGGGGCAUUAUUGGAUGCAUUAAAAGGUGUUUUCAUUACAGAUUCUCUCAAACAAGCUGUUGGAAAUGAGGCUAUAAAACUUCUUGUAAACGUUGAUGAAGAAGACUAUGAAAGAGGAAGACGCACACUUCUCCAAAAUCUUUAAUAAGAACAAUGAUAGGUUAUAAGUUAUUCAACAGUGAGACUCUUUAAAAGAAAAGUGACACCCUAUAUAAGAGAUGAAUUACAGCUGAUUGGAACUGAAGACAUAAGAAAUUGUAUUCCAGCCAGGACAAGCAGCAACAUAAACAAGACAAGAAACCAUCACUAAGAUACCAAUCCAGAAUGUGAUCAACCCAUCAGAUUUUUCAUCUUUCAUCUUCUUGUUUCAUUCAAGAUAACUGAACAACUACUUUAUCACUUAUGUCAGUUUAAACCUAAAUCCACUGUAUGUGUUUCUAGACAGUGCACGAUGUCAUCACUUAAUCAUAACUGGCAGUAAUUACAAAAAGAAAUUCAUAAUUGUAGUGUAAAUAAUGCUAUCAUUACCCAUUCUAGUUAGCUUUCUUAUAGAAAAUCUGGUAUUCCUUUAAAAAGCUUAAGUACAGGGUGAAACAGAAAUUAGAGGCCAAUAAUAGUUGAACAUUAGAUGACUGUAACAUGCAGAAUACUCAAUGCUUUGUAUACUGUACAAUCGGUGUCUUUAGGGAGCUAACCAUUAUUAUGUAUGAAGUGUAGGAGUAAAGAAUACACCAAGUUUCAGUCAGGGGAAAAAACAUCACAAAACAAGUAAUAAAAAACAUUUUGUAAAUGUAAAA
rnacentral:misc_RNA from 1 species